GCCCAAAGUGAAGAAUUUGGUUCUGCUGCUGAGUAACCACGAAGGGUUGGCCAGUCCCAAUGAUGCGCAGCCCGGCUUGAGCACCCUGAGCCCGGCUGCUGGGGGGCUGAGCCCCAAAGCCCUCAGCCAGGUGCUGCUGCUGGGCCCCAAAAGUGACCCAGGCAGAAACCUGAGCCUGGCUCCACGAGUGUCCCCAUGAUGGGCUCACUCCUACUGCUGGUGACCACAGCCCAGUGAGAGCACGGCCAGGUCUGGCCUCGUCUCUGCGAUGCCAUAAAUAAUGCACGAGCCUCUGCGCACAGACCCAGGGAAAACACGUGAGCUCGCAGCCUUCUGACGUGGGAGAAAACAAGUUUAGAGGUUGCAGGUACUUUUUCUCCUCGUACCCACUGGAAAGUAGAAGUUGGUGAAGCCAAAGGAACACAUCCAAGGGCGGAUGGUUGUGCCACCAGCCCUGAGUUUCUGCAGCAAAAGGAUUUGGGCUCAUCUCCAGUCGGAUCAGAAAGCAGUCCCAUCUGACCUUGACCAACCACAGAAAACUAAGCCAGCUGAGAUAGCCAGGAAGAGAUCUCUGGUGAUGGAGAGCAGAAAUCUAUGGAGAGCCGCAGAAGAACGGGUUGGCUAUUUGGAAAGAAAAGGAAUUGUGUAGAAAACAAAAUAUUUUUGGGGAAGGAUAGACCACAACUGGGAAAAAAACAAACAAACUCUGCAAUACUGCCGUGUGAAUAGGAGAAUGAGGAGAAGAGGAGGAGAACCCGGAGCGGCCAUGGGGCACAGCAGGGAGGAGUGAGCUGUGCCCGGGUGCUGCACACGUGCACCACAGUCAGUGCCUGUCCCAUGGGGGAGCUCAGGGCUGCUCCUGACCACAUGAAGGGCUCUGGGUUGGGCGUACCCGGGACUGUUCUGAGAUGCUGUAGUGGUCCAUCGCCACCCUGCCUUUCUGCACUAGGCACAGGCCCCUUCCUUAAGGCUGCUCAGACAAAAUCCUUGCUCCCAACGCCUCCAAUACCUGGCCCCAUAGCCAACAUCCUCCUCCGGCUUACCACACUCCCUUCUGCUCAUCAGACAACCUCAAGGACAGGGCAUUCUUAGCUACCCAGGCACCUACCCAAGUUCCCCUUGCAGCGUCUGACCCCAAACUUGGCAAAACCAAUACAGAUAUUACAGAAGGUUCGUUGCACGCCCAUAGCAGCGCACUGCAGGCAGCCACGGCUUGCCCUGCUUGAGCAGAUCAAAGCCACGUCAAGCCCAAUGCAAUAAGCACUGCUGAACAGCAAGAGACGUGAAGCCGGCCUUGGUGCUAUGCAGUGUGGUCACACGGCUUCCAGAUGUGGACAGCCCGAGCUCCUGCCUGCCCUGAGCCACCCUGUAGCCGGGGGCUGCCUGUAGACUGAAAGGCAGAGUGCAGAAAUAAAGCUGCUCUCCACCUCUUUCUGGUUAAAUCGCUCUGCAGCUUGCAGAGCUCCACCAAGGACAAUUAUUUCCAGCAUGUGCCGUGCGUGAAUGCUGCAAGCAAGGCAGAGCUGGAGUUUCAUCAUAGCCCGGCUUUGUGCGCAGAGCAGAGAAGGAGGGGAAAAAAAAUCAAAAAGGAACUUGGAACUGAUGGCCCCCCAGCCUCACCCUGAUCCCGAGGAGGCUCCGCUCUGCUCUUGCUCAACCCGACAUCGAGAAUGAGGAAGUGGAGGAGACAGGCGGGGGAGGCGGAGGAACGGUCAAACUGAAGACAAACAGCCCCCGAGCUGCAGGGCUGGGAAAAAGCUCCAUGAGCAAGAGGGCACGGGAGCAAAGAGCACCCUGCAUCCAUGCUGAACCCCGUCCCCAUGCGGCGGUCCCCGAGGUUUGGGUAACCAGAGUUCAGGUCUCCCAGGAGCCGGUUUCCAGCACCCAGACCUGCAACCCCUGCAGCACAUGGGGAUGGCACAGCCUGGCCGUGGUAGGGCCGUGCCGAGCCGUGCUGAGCCAGCCCCAGCCGGCCCGCUGCCUGCCUUGCUCAGCAACAGCCAGCUUUCAGCACAGCCCGCAGCUCGCUCGCUCGCCUCCGUGCUCCUGAAUACCAGGAACCACACCACCACGUUGGCUGCAAACAGGAGUUGGCAUAAAAAAUUAAAACCCAGGCAGGCGCGAGGUGCUGCAGGUGGCUGCUGCAGCCUGGGGCCCUCGUUGGUCCCUGUGCCCCUGGUCCCACCACCUCUGUCACCAUCCCCAUCCAUGCAGGCACUCUGCAAUUCAUCCUGCCCCAGGGGAGGAAGAAGCACAGGUGAAGCAGCCCUAAGCUGCAUGGUCCAAGGAUGGUGGGGCAGCACCCAGCGGGGUGCUUUCUGCUGCUUUGUCCUUCCACUCGCUAGGGCAGCCAGGAGUUGCCCUGACCUUAUCCCUCUUACAGCAAAAACAACAUAGCAGAGACAUUAAGGGUGUGUGGGAGAUCCCUAAAGGGGUUCCCAGUACUGCAGCUGAGGAGAAGAUCAGGACCUGUGGCCCGUAAGGUAAACCCCACAAACAUUUUCUAUUCUCUUCAGGACAAGCAGGGAACCGAGGCACCAGCAUGGGUAAGUGGGAGGGAAAUGAAGGGCUCCUGGCCCACCCAGCUUAGGGCAGCAAAGAUAGCAAGAGCCAUUGCUGGAGCUGCUAAAACUUAUCCCAGAGAUUUAAUGUUUCUCAGGGAAAGCGGCAAAUCCCAUGGGAAGGAGCACCGCAUGAGGACCAAGGAAGGGAACUAAACCCAGACAGGGAGCAGACGGAGUGCAAACCCAGCAAAGCCCUGGGGAAAGGAAAGCCAGCAAAGCUUUGAGAACAAGAGGUUUCUUUCCCUUUCAUCCCGCUGUGAUAGUUGGGGUGAGGGAGCCGACACCCAGUGCCAGGAGCAGAGCCUGAUGGAGGAGCUCAUGGGAAGGCAGCAGAGCAGCAGGACCUGCGUGAUCGCCCACAGCAAGCAGCAGUUCCAGCAAGCGUACACCCAGCCUGCAUCUCAGAAGCAUUCUGCAUCCAGAGCAUCCCUGAAAGGGAGAGCUCAUUGCCAAAACCCAGGAGCUCCGCCUGCCCAGGGUUUGCAUUUUCAUUUUGGCUGGGAAACUGGAAAAAUACAGACCUGAGAAGGCAAUUCCCCCAGCCCAUCACUGAUCUCUGACCCUGCAGUGCUGGGCUGGCACUGGGAGUCUCUUGGUUUCUGCAGUGCUGGGGGGUGGCAUGGCAGCUUUCACAAAUGGGGCCGAGGGAAUUGCGAAGUGCCAGGACAGGGACUGGGUGUGCCUGAAUGGUACCCUUUGUCCACACCUCUGAGUUACCCAAAACCAGGGAACCUGUCCCUGCCUUUCCCUGCAGCCCCAUCCCCAGGACCCGGCCAGGAGCCCCUCUUAGCAACAGCCCUGGAUUGAAAGAAAAUAAAUGCAAUUCUGCUGAGAGGGGAGGAAAAAAAAAUAAAGGCAUAAAGGAUGUGCCUCUCCAGCUCCUCCUCCCCUCCCAGAAACCUGUGUGCUAUGCAAAUAUAUGCAAAUACAGCACCGAAAGGGGGAUGAAACUGGCUCUCUAUACCAGCAUGGUUUGAGACUGGGAAGGAUUGGAAGCAGCUUGUUGGAAACUUGGGGAAGAAAUAGCUACAGGAUGAGAGGGACAAGCAAUGAGGGCUGCAGGGCGCACAUCCCCAAACCCAUCCGGCACAGCAGCACGCAGCCCCAGCCCUCCUUCUCAGCAUCCCAUUGGUGCAGGUGACACGGAAACACUUGCAAAACCCCUUUUCCCUCCGCAAAAGGAGAGGAAAAAAAAAAAAAAAAGCCCCAAACUUGCUUUGCUGCUGUUUACAAUUCCCACCUGAGAAGAGACAGCGCCGCAUGUUUGCUGCCAUGGCGUUGUGCCCCAAGCAGGGACAGCAGCUGCGGACGGAGCCGGGUCGUGCUCUGCGAGGCGGGCGCUUCCCCCAGGUACUGCCGGAGUGACACCUAUCUUACAUGAGGAAUGGGCUCGUAUGAAUUCCAGCUCAUUUGUUCCAGGCAAUUUAUCCGGCCCAGCGUUGCCUUGUUUGACUCCCUACAAUGAAGAUCAACAGCUUCAAGAGAAGUUCUUGUGACUGGGCAGGACACAACAGUCUCCUGACAUCAACGUGCAAGUCCUGACGUCACCAGCAGAGCUGGAGAAAGGUCCAGAGCAGGAUGAUCAAACAGUGAGUCCGUAGGAGGAGGACCUCAGCCUGGAAACCAAGCAGCUAGAGAGGCACAUCUGGCCUCAAAAAGGUGAACCAAGUUUGAUUGCUCACUACGUCUCCCAAUAAAAGAAUUAGGAGAUACCCAAUGACAUUAAGAGGCAGCAGAUUCAAAAGGAGCAAGAGAAAAUGGCUCUUCACAUGCUAUGUGGUUAAACAGUGGAAGUCCUCACCACAGCUCUCAGGGGACGAUUAAAGCUUCUGCAUUUACAAAAAAAAUCAACCAGACAAAUUUCAUGGGGAAUCCAGGGAGGGGUAUUAAAGGCAAAAUGCUGCCUGGUUGGGGAAGUCCCUGAGCUGCCACGUGCUUGGGGCUGGGAGCGUGCACAAGAGGCACAGCCCUGCCCGGAUCUGCGGUGGGGACAUCCUCUACCAUUCCUUGCAUGGAAUGGAGACAGCAGGUGACAUCUCCAAGCCAGACCCUACAAUCCCAGCAGCCUGCUGUGUCUCCAAGCCCCACCUCGGGAGGUGCCAAACCCAUGCGAGUUGCAAAGUCCAUAAGCAGUGGGACCACUCAGUGCUGUCAGUGUGCUGCUCCCAGGACCCUGGCAGGAGCCAGGCUGGGUGCACAGCUCCAGUCCUCGGGACAGCGGCUGCAUGCGUCCCCGCGAGCAGCAUCCCUCACACAGGCAGGCGCACAGAGUCCAUGCACGUAGCAAUCCCAAUUAAACCCAACUACAUCGCAAAGGGCCCUGGCAGUGCUGCAUUUAUCAGGCUGCCUGGAAGGGGCUUGUGCAAGCUGUCCCCCCGGCUGAUGGAUUAGACAGCAGACAAUUAGGUUUCAGACACACACACACACACACACACACACGCAAGCACACGCACGCACACAAAUCCUUUUCUCCAUCCAUCUGCAAGGCCAAGGCGGCUGAGCACAGCUGUGCGGCUGUCCAGUGCUUCUGAAGCUGCGUGCAGCUGAAUAAGAAAAAGCCCCCGCGCCUCGGCUUUCAGCGGCUGCUUGCAAAAUGAGCGAGAGGUCCCCAAAGAGAUGACACAAUUGCAAUGGAAAUGAUUAACCCUUCGCAGGUUGGUUUUGUUGCUCCGUACCGCGGCAGCCAAGCCUGGCCACGAACUCCCACUCGUUGGGUUUCAAGGACAAAGCCACAGCAACUCAGUGCUCAGCCAGCUAAACUGUGGCGGGGACGAGCAUGCUCCCGCGUCCGUGUUUCAUGGCAGCAAUCUGGGAUUUUGGGGAUCAUUUUAGACAUCUCCCUGCCAGGGUAUUCCCAGCUCCUCUAAGCAGGGAUGCUCUCUCCACACACGCAUCGCUUCUGCAAACAUCCCACCUAAAGCAUCCCCUCCUGGUGCCUGAGAGCAGACACCACAGUUGCUACACCCGGAUCCCAGCCAGCUUCGCUCCUCUGAUUGCCCCUUUCGAGGGCUGCUCGGAACAAUAAUUCAAUACCAGAAAAAAUUAAUUGCGACAUUAAAUGGCUGCGAUGGAAAAGGAACAAACUGGGGGGGCUUCUGAAAGGCGAAGCGUGCACGCCUGCUCCGGGAGAUCUCCGAUGGAAUCAACAAAACAAUGGAUAUAAGGAAAAAAAAUCAGUAGAUAUAAUUUGUUAGGAUUGCCCUAAAGCCUGUGAUAAAAUCCCACAUGCUACUGAGGAAGCCAGGAAUUACUGGGCAACACGUAAAAUGCUGCCAGGAGCAGGAAGCAGCAAAGUGCCAGCAUGCAGCAGCACAGGGGCAAUGCCCCUCUCUGUGGGCAGGACAGGAAAGCUAGAGGUGUGACCUUGCUCCACAUGCAGCUUCCCACAGACAGGGGUCUGCCUGUCGUGCCAUGCAAGCAGGGAUGAGAGGGCAGUCAGCAGCUCCAUCCCUCCAUCACUCACAUGUACUUGAGUUUGAUAAGCCGAACGUGACACCAAGACUGCGUCAGUCCUUGGCCUCAGCCCUUGCACUCACAACCCUUGAUCUCUCCUUCCAAGCCAUCUUUCAGCUGUAUGUCUGGAAAGAGCCCAAGGAGAGAAGCCUCCCAUCUUACAUUUGGUGUGGGACACACGGGGGGAGAGGAUCCUCGCCAAUGAUGCUCAGCUUCCUGGAAACUACACCACGGUCUCAUUUUUCUUGCCAUUUUUGAAGAUCGCAUCACAAGAUCCCAUCCCAGUGCGUGUGAUCUUGCAGAGCCAACUCCAAGAUGACAAACACUCAGGUAGAAACGGCCACAUAGGCAACUCAGCCCAUUCCUCAAAUCAAUGAGAAUUUUUUUGAGGUUUCCUUUCGCUAAAUAUAGAUGUAAGCCCUAGCAUUACAAGAUAUAUCAUCCACUAUGGUAAGAAGAAACUCUCCAGAUGCAUCAGAGAACGUCUACAUGUUUGCCAAGGAAGAUUGCUGCGCUCUCCAAGCUCUGUUUAUUAUUAGUAGCAUAAGACUGGACACAAGGAUGGCUCUGACCUCCCAGAGGUCAUGUGCCUUGCACAUGAAUUUAGGACUGAGUGGAGGCUGCAGCAUUCAUCAUCUGCGAGCAGCCAGUUCCACCCCAUGUGUGAGCUCCUCCAUCUCUAAAGCCAUUGCAUUUCUCACCUGUUCCAAUGGGUCCACCCCAGAGCAUCAUCCCUCCCCUCCCUCAGCUCCACUGUUCUCCCCCUAAGCAUAUUCACGGGCAGUUUAAAGUCAUUUGAUUGCAUGCCAACAAUAUCUGCCAGUGGAACAGCUCAUCUCCCACCCCAGUGCUCCAUUUCCCAUGGUCUAUCUGCUUUGCAAAGCGGAGUUUGAAGAGUCUCAGGAGAUGGGCCAUUCACUGCACCUCCUUGGGGACUCAGCCAUCAUAUCUUGUAUCAAUCCAUAAACCACCCCUUCAGAUUUAUCAAGGUCCUAUAGUUUUCCUUCUGCAGCCCUAAGCAUGGUAUCAGAGAGAAUUUCCUGUUAACUACGCAACACUUUCCUCUCCUUGUUUUAUCCCAUUAUCCAUCGUUACAUCUCCUGGACCACUCUAAAUAAUUACUCAGCUGUGUGUUUAUGACCUUCAGAUAUUUGUCCAUCCUUGGUUUAAGUGAACUCUUAUUCAAGCCACCCUUAACAUUUAGACUGCACAGAGAAAUGCUUAUGUACAGAGACCUUCCAGGAUGGGGAAGAGAGAAAGUAGCAGCUUCCCAGGCUCUGUUGCACAGGCUGGGAAACUGAGGCAUAAGGAGACAGCCACAGAUUGAUC
ensembl:lncRNA